AAGGCGGGACGCCCUGUCGCUGCCCUUGCGGCAGAGGAAAGUCCGGGCAGGAAAGAGCACCGCACUGUGGAAAGCACAGGUAGGCGAAAGUUUACGUCACGGGUAACAGAAAACAACCGCCCGUAACCGGGUAAGGGUGAAAAUGCAGGGGUAAGAGCCUGCAGUUCCGGACGGCGACGUCCGGGGCGUAUCCGGCUGCGGCCUGCAAGGCCAAAUAUACCGGCAGUCAAGGGCUGCUCGUCCGAUGCCGGGGGGUAGGCUGCUCAGAUAAAUGACAGGGGCCGGCGGCAUGCCGGUACAGAACCCGGCUUAUAGUCCCGCCUUUUUU
rnacentral:RNase_P_RNA from 1 species